UGAACGAACCAGUUAUCGAACACAUAGGGAAUUAUGUUAAAAUUGAAACACUUUAAAACAUUAUGUUUUAUCAAAUGACUAAAAGUUUAAUCAUUUAAUAACUUAUCUGUAAAGUGUUCCAGCAAAUAUCCUUUAAGAAUUCAUAACAAUGAUUAAACUUGUCUGUGAACAAGCAGGUUGGACUGAUAGUGAAUUACUGCGCACUCUUCAUUUGCCUAAAUUUGUGAGCUGGUUCAAACCAAGACCUAACCGGCCAGAGGCCUAGGCAUAUGCAACACAUAGACGACACAUGGAGGCUAUAAUCAGCUAAGAAUUCACAGGCGGAUGAAACUUUUAUGACGUUGAUGUACACGAAGAACAAAAUGCAUCUGAUGACAGAGUGGUGCACCAUAUAUUACAGG